UACGAAGGGGGCUAGCGUUGCUCGGAAUUACUGGGCGUAAAGGGCGCGUAGGCGGAUAUUUAAGUUAGAGGUAAAAGCCCAGGGCUCAACCCUGGAAUAGCCUUUAAUACUGGAUAUCUUGAGUUCGGGAGAGGUGAGUGGAAUGCCGAGUGUAGAGGUGAAAUUCGUAGAUAUUCGGCGGAACACCAGUGGCGAAGGCGACUCACUGGCCCGAUACUGACGCUGAGGCGCGAAAGCGUGGGGAGCAAACAGG
rnacentral:rRNA from 1 species